AAACACCUUCGGGUGUGAAUUAGCGGCGAACGGGUGAGGAACACGUGAAGAAUCUGCCUUCAACUCUGGGAUAACUCCGGGAAACCGGGGCUAAUACCGGAUAUGAGCCUUGAUCGCAUGAUCGGGGCUGGAAAGUUUUUCGGUUGAAGAUGACUUCGCGGCCUAUCAGCUUGUCGGUGAGGUAAUGGCUCACCAAGGCGACGACGGGUAGCCGGCCUGAGAGGGCGACCGGCCACACUGGGACUGAGACACGGCCCAGACUCCUACGGGAGGCAGCAGUGGGGAAUAUUGGGCAAUGGAGGAAACUCUGACCCAGCGACGCCGCGUGAGGGAUGAAGGCCUUCGGGUUGUAAACCUCUUUCAGUAGGGAAGAAGCGAAAGUGACGGUACCUACAGAAGAAGCACCGGCUAACUAUGUGCCAGCAGCCGCGGUAAUACAUAGGGUGCAAGCGUUGUCCGGAAUUAUUGGGCGUAAAGAGCUCGUAGGUGGUUCGAUACGUCGGAUGUGAAAAUCAGGGGCUCAACCCCUGACCUGCAUCCGAUACGGUCGAGCUAGAGUUUGGUAGGGGAGACUGGAAUUCCUGGUGUAGCGGUGGAAUGCGCAGAUAUCAGGAGGAACACCGAUGGCGAAGGCAGGUCUCUGGGCCAAUACUGACACUGAGGAGCGAAAGCGUGGGGAGCGAACAGGAUUAGAUACCCUGGUAGUCCACGCCGUAAACGGUGGGCGCUAGUUGUGCGAACCUUCCACGGUUUGUGCGACGCAGCUAACGCAUUAAGCGCCCCGCCUGGGGAGUACGAUCGCAAGAUUAAAACUCGAAGGAAUUGACGGGGCCUCGCACAAGCAGCGGAGCAUGCGGCUUAAUUCGACGCAACGCGAAGAACCUUACCAAGGCUUGACAUAUACAGGAAUAUGGCAGAGAUGUCAUAGCCGCAAGGUCUGUAUACA
rnacentral:rRNA from 1 species